CCUACGGGAGGCAGCAGUGAGGAAUAUUGGUCAAUGGGCGCGAGCCUGAACCAGCCAAGUCGCGUGAGGGAGGACGGCCCUACGGGUUGUAAACCUCUUUUGCCGGGGAGCAACGUGCGUCACGUGUGGCGCCCCUGAGAGUACCCGGAGAAAAAGCAUCGGCUAACUCCGUGCCAGCAGCCGCGGUAAUACGGAGGAUGCGAGCGUUAUCCGGAUUUAUUGGGUUUAAAGGGUGCGUAGGCGGAUCGUUAAGUCAGUGGUCAAAUUGAGGGGCUCAACCCCUUCCCGCCAUUGAAACUGGCGCUCUUGAGUGGAAGAGAAGUAUGCGGAAUGCGUGGUGUAGCGGUGAAAUGCAUAGAUAUCACGCAGAACCCCGAUUGCGAAGGCAGCAUGCCGGCUUCCGACUGACGCUGAAGCACGAAAGCGUGGGGAUCGAACAGGAUUAGAUACCCCAGUAGUC
rnacentral:rRNA from 1 species